UACGUAGGGUGCGAGCGUUGUCCGGAAUUAUUGGGCGUAAAGAGCUUGUAGGCGGUUUGUCGCGUCUGCUGUGAAAAUCCGGGGCUCAACCCCGGACUUGCAGUGGGUACGGGCAGACUAGAGUGUGGUAGGGGAGACUGGAAUUCCUAGUGUAGCGGUGAAAUGCGUAGAUAUUAGGAGGAACACCGGUGGCGAAGGCGGCUUACUGGACUAUAACUGACGCUGAGUCACGAAAGCAUGGGGAGCGAACAGGAUUAGAUACCCCCGUAGUCCCUGAG
rnacentral:rRNA from 1 species